GAUGAACGCUGGCGGCGUGCCUAAUACAUGCAAGUCGAGCGAACAGAUGAGGAGCUUGCUCCUCUGACGUUAGCGGCGGACGGGUGAGUAACACGUGGAUAACCUACCUAUAAGACUGGGAUAACUUCGGGAAACCGGAGCUAAUACCGGAUAAUAUAUUGAACCGCAUGGUUCAAUAGUGAAAGACGGUUUUGCUGUCACUUAUAGAUGGAUCCGCGCCGCAUUAGCUAGUUGGUAAGGUAACGGCUUACCAAGGCAACGAUGCGUAGCCGACCUGAGAGGGUGAUCGGCCACACUGGAACUGAGACACGGUCCAGACUCCUACGGGAGGCAGCAGUAGGGAAUCUUCCGCAAUGGGCGAAAGCCUGACGGAGCAACGCCGCGUGAGUGAUGAAGGUCUUCGGAUCGUAAAACUCUGUUAUUAGGGAAGAACAAAUGUGGAAGUAACUAUGCACGUCUUGACGGUACCUAAUCAGAAAGCCACGGCUAACUACGUG
rnacentral:rRNA from 1 species